rnacentral:tRNA from 1 species
GUCAGGAUGGCCAAGGGGUCUAAGGUGCCCGACUCAAGGUUAAUCCUUCCUGAACAAUGGGACUUCUGGUCUCUUAAUGUAGGUGUGGGUUCAAAUCCCACUCCUGACA